GGCGCUGUAGCUUAGUUGGUUAAAGCGCCUGUCUUGUAAACAGGAGAUCUUGGGUUCAAAUCCCAGCAGUGCCU
rnacentral:tRNA from 1 species